rnacentral:rRNA from 1 species
AGUGAACGCUGGCGGUAGGCCUAACACAUGCAAGUCGAACGGCAGCACAGGAGAGCUUGCUCUCUGGGUGGCGAGUGGCGGACGGGUGAGGAAUACAUCGGAAUCUACUCUGUCGUGGGGGAUAACGUAGGGAAACUUACGCUAAUACCGCAUACGACCUACGGGUGAAAGCAGGGGACCUUCGGGCCUUGCGCGAUUGAAUGAGCCGAUGUCGGAUUAGCUAGUUGGCGGGGUAAAGGCCCACCAAGGCGACGAGCCGUAGCUGGUCUGAGAGGAUGAUAAGCCAAACUGGAGCUGAGACACGGUCCAGCCUCCUACGGGAGGCAGCAGUGGGGAAUAUUGGAAAAUGGGCGCAAGCCUGAUCCAGCCAUACCGCGUGGGUGAAGAAGGCCUUCGGGUUGUAAAGCCCUUUUGUUGGGAAAGAAAUCCAGCUGGCUAAUACCCGGUUGGGAUGACGGUACCCAAAGAAUAAGCACCGGCUAACUUCGUGCCAGCCGCCGCCGUAA